rnacentral:rRNA from 1 species
AUGGAACCCUAUGUUGGCAUGAGGUUUGACACCCUUCAAAUUGCUAAGGAUCACUACAACAGCUACGCCCUACGGAUGGGUUUCUCUGUAAAAAUGAACACCUCUAGGCGGAUAGCUCGCACAAAUGUAUUGGUAAAACAACAGUUUUGCUGCAACAAGUACAAGAAGCCAAAAGCUGAUGAUGGAGGAGCUGAGGCUCCUCCUGUCCUGGAUCCUAUACCAGAUCCAAAACCUGUUGACAGUGAUGAGGAGAUGGAAUAA